GACGAACGCUGGCGGCGUGCUUAACACAUGCAAGUCGAACGGAGAUUCAGCAAUGGAUCUUAGUGGCGAACGGGUGAGUAACACGUAGGCAAUCUGCCUUCUAGAUGGGGACAACAUCCCGAAAGGGGUGCUAAUACCGAAUGUUGUACCGUUUCCGCAUGGAGAUGAUACUAAAGGUGGCCUCUGAAUAUGCUACCGCUAGAAGAUGAGCCUGCGUCCGAUUAACUAGUUGGAGGGGUAACGGCCCACCAAGGCUUCGAUCAGUAGCCGGUCGGAGAGGAUGAACGGCCACACUGGGACUGAGACACGGCCCAGACUCCUACGGGAGGCAGCAGUGGGGAAGCUUCCGCAAUGGACGAAAGUCUGACGGAGCAACGCCGCGUGAGUGAAGAAGGUUUUCGGAUCGUAAAGCUCUUUCGUUAGGGACGAACGUGCUCUUUGUGAAUAAUGAGGUGUAAUGACGGUACCUAAAUAAGAAGCCACGGCUAACUACGUGCCAGCAGCAGCCGCGG
rnacentral:rRNA from 1 species